AAAAACAGAUAAGGGCAGACGGUGGAUGCCUUGGCUCUCGGAGGCGAAGAAGGACGUGAUAAGCUGCGAUAAGCUACGGGGAUUGGCACAUACAAAUUGAUCCGUAGAUUUCCGAAUGGGGCAACCCGGCAUAUUGAAGAUAUGUCACACUGCAGAGCAGUGAGCGAACGUGGGGAACUGAAACAUCUAAGUACCCAUAGGAGAAGAAAACAAAAGUGAUUCCCUUAGUAGUGGCGAGCGAACGGGGACUAGCCCAAACCAGAUUUGUUUCGGCAAAACUGGGGUUGUAGGACCUCGAUAUAGGAAGACAAGAUUAGGAGAACGGUCUGGAAAGGCCGGCCAUAGAACAUGAGAGCUGUGUAUCCGAAAAUCUUCGUUGGACUUAGAGGUAUCCUGAGUAGCGCGGGACACGUGAAAUCCUGUGUGAAUCUGCGGGGCCCAUCCCGUAAGGCUAAAUACUCCCGAGAGACCGAUAGUGAACCAGUACCGUGAGGGAAAGGUGAAAAGAACCUCGAACAGAGGAGUGCAAUAGAUCCUGAACCCGUCUGCCUACAAGCGGUAGGAGCAGCUUCGAGCUGUGACUGCGUGCCUUUUGCAUAAUGAACCUACGAGUUACUUUCUCUGGCAAGGUUAAGUGAUGAAGAGUCACGUGAGCCGAAGCGAAAGCGAGUCUGAAUAGGGCGGUUUAGUCAGAGGGAGUAGACGCGAAACCAAGUGAUCUACCCUUGGUCAGGUUGAAGGUUGGGUAAAACCAACUGGAGGACCGCACCGGUAAGCGUUGAAAAGCUUUCGGAUGAACUGAGGGUAGGGGUGAAAGGCUAAUCAAACUUGGAGAUAGCUCGUACUCCCCGAAAUGCAUUUAGGUGCAGCCUGUGGAGUUUCUUACGUGAGGUAGAGCGACUGAUUGGAUGCGAGGCUUUCACCGGCUAUCAAGUCCAGACAAACUCCGAAUGCACGUUAAGUAAGAUCCACGGAGUGAGGGCAUGGGUGCUAAGGUCCAUGUCCGAGAGGAGAAGAAUCCAGACCAUCGGCUAAGGUCCCGAAAUAAUAGCUAAGUUGACCAAACGAAGUCAGAGUGCGAAGACAGCUAGGAUGUUGGCUUGGAAGCAGCCAUUCAUUUAAAGAGUGCGUAACAGCUCACUAGUCGAGUGCUUUGGCGUGGAUAAUAAUCGGGCAUAAGCUAUUUACCGAAGCUGUGGGAUGUGUAAACAUCGGUAGGGGAGCAUUCUAGCGGCGCUGAAGGUGAGAGGACAACUCUUGCUGGAGCUUCUAGAAAAGCAAAUGUAGGUAUAAGUAACGAUAAAGGAGGUGAGAAACCUCCUCGCCGAAAGACUAAGGUUUCCUGAUCAACGCUAAUCGGAUCAGGGUUAGUCGGGGCCUAAGGGGAAGCCGAACGGCGUACCCGAUGGAAGAACCGGUUAAUAUUCCGGUACUAAUUAUGUGAGCGAUGUGGAGACGGAGAUGUGACGGUCCUGCCAACUGACGGAAUAGUUGGUUGAAGGGUGUAGGAGUUGAUCUGAGUAGGCAAAUCCGCUCGGAGAUCCGAACCUGACAGUACUCUGAGUGCUUGCACAAGGAGAUAUGGACAACUGUAACGGUGCUCCCAAGAAAAUCCGCUAAGCAUAUUGCAUGAUUACCCGUACCACAAACCGACACAGGUGGUUGGGUUGAGUAUACUAAGGCGCUCGAGUGAUUCGCGGUUAAGGAACUAGGCAAAAUAGUCCUGUAACUUCGGAAUAAAGGACGCUCACAGUGAAGGCUGUGAGCCGCAGAGAAUAGGCCCAGGCGACUGUUUAACAAAAACACAUGGCUAUGCUAAAUCGAAAGAUACUGUAUAUAGCCUGACACCUGCCCGGUGCUGGAAGGUUAAGAGGAGAUGUCAUCGCAAGAGAAGCAUUGAAUUGAAGCCCCAGUAAACGGCGGCCGUAACUAUAACGGUCCUAAGGUAGCGAAAUUCCUUGUCGGGUAAGUUCCGACCUGCACGAAUGGUGUAA
rnacentral:rRNA from 1 species